AGUGGAGCGCGGACACUGAGACAGUGAGAGAGUGGAGCGGGCUCACGGCGGGAUGAGGAGAAGGAGUGUGAUGAUGAUGCUGAAGUCAUGUAAUCCCGCGGACAGAGAUUCGCUGUAGCUUCGACUUUUACAGUGGAGAUACGACCCAUUCGGCGUGUGAACAUGGACCAAAAAUGACCAAUGCAUCUUCUUGGUGCUUCUGUCGUGGGAUUUAUAUUACUACCUCUUGCCUUCUCCUGUGAAAUCUCAAAAAAUAAAGUCAAGAUUUCUCAGGAAUACGAGCACAUCAUUUUGAAGCAACUGCAGCGCAUUAACCUCACUGUUGAGGAGGAGCUAAUACAGCGAAAUAAGCACUGCAAAAGAAACACUACGUUUCAUAACAUAGAAAAUCCAGAAUAUUUUAUCCACAAUGCCUCCUGCAAUCGAAUGCCAACGGGGUUAGAGACAAACCUGGAAGAAGAUCUAAAGUUUCUUGUGGAAAGCAUUAUUGGAUCCCUAGGAUGUCAAUGUCCCACCCGGCAGGGGAAGCAACGUGCCAAUGGAAAACAACCGGGACUCAGAAGAAAGCUUUGCAAACUAAAACACACCCUUGCAGGAAUACAGAAAGCCUACGAACAAUACAAUUCUACUUAAGUAUGGGCCCCACAAGAGACAUUCAAGCUAUAAAGGAGAGAAGAGACACAGUGAAGCAUUGCUGUGCUCCAAAUCGAAACACUGCAUUCCUGCAUUACCUGUUUGAGUGGACAUA
rnacentral:lncRNA from 1 species